GUGAGGAAUUUUCCGCAAUGGGCGAAAGCCUGACGGAGCAAUGCCGCGUGAAGGAUGAAGGCCUAUGGGUUGUAAACUUCUUUUCUCAGAAAAGAAUUAUGACGGUAUCUGAGGAGUAAGCAUCGGCUAACUCUGUGCCAGCAGCCGCGGUAAGACAGAGGAUGCAAGCGUUAUCCGGAAUGAUUGGGCGUAAAGCGUCUGUAGGUUGUUUAAAAAGUAUUCUGUCAAAGAUUAGGGCUUAACCCUAGAUAGGCAGAAUAAACUUUUAAGCUAGAGUUUGGUAGAGGCAGAGGGAAUUCCCGGUGGAGCGGUGAAAUGCGUAGAUAUCGGGAGGAACACCAAAGGCGAAGGCACUCUGCUGGGCCAAUACUAACACUGAGAGACGAAAGCGAGGGGAGCAAAUGGGAUUAGAUACCCGAGUAGUCC
rnacentral:rRNA from 1 species